rnacentral:tRNA from 1 species
GGUGGCCUAGCUCAGUGGAAGAGCUUCCGCUUUUUGCGCGGGGAGACCUGGGUUCGAUUACCGGCUACUU